AUACUAAUACAUGCAAGUCGAGCGAUGAUUAAAGAUAGCUUGCUAUUUUUAUGAAGAGCGGCGAACGGGUGAGUAACGCGUGGGAAAUCUGCCGAGUAGCGGGGGACAACGUUUGGAAACGAACGCUAAUACCGCAUAACAAUGAGAAUCGCAUGAUUCUUAUUUGAAAGAAGCAAUUGCUUCACUACUUGAUGAUCCCGCGUUGUAUUAGCUAGUUGGUAGUGUAAAGGACUACCAAGGCGAUGAUACAUAGCCGACCUGAGAGGGUGAUCGGCCACACUGGGACUGAGACACGGCCCAGACUCCUACGGGAGGCAGCAGUAGGGAAUCUUCGGCAAUGGGGGCAACCCUGACCGAGCAACGCCGCGUGAGUGAAGAAGGUUUUCGGAUCGUAAAACUCUGUUGUUAGAGAAGAACGUUAAGUAGAGUGGAAAAUUACUUAAGUGACGGUAUCUAACCAGAAAGGGACGGCUAACUACGUGCCAGCAGCCGCGGUAAUACGUARGUCCCAAGCGUUGUCCGGAUUUAUUGGGCGUAAAGCGAGCGCAGGUGGUUUCUUAAGUCUGAUGUAAAAGGCAGUGGCUCAACCAUUGUGUGCAUUGGAAACUGGGAGACUUGAGUGCAGGAGAGGAGAG
rnacentral:rRNA from 1 species